rnacentral:lncRNA from 1 species
GUAUAUAUAUACUAUAUAUAGUAUAUAUAUAUAUAACAUACAUGACAUAUAUAAGUAAUUUAUUCCUUUGUUGGUUCAGGGAAGUAUGAUUUUCUAAAUGUGUCGCUUAAUGUGUUUAUUAAUGCAGUUUCAAUUAUAUACACUCUUUCCUUACUGAAGUAUUCAUCUACUACGUGGAGCAUGGUAAGUAAUAUAUCGCAUAUUCACUUUUCUCUUAAUACAAUGUAAUUGUCAUAUCAGUAUUAUUUAUUCAGUCUACAGUUUUCCAUAGUUUUCAUAUUUUUAAUUUGUGUAAAACUACCUUCAACAGUUAUGAUGGAUUCCUUAUCUAAAGUUGAUCAGUAUUCUAAAUGCUCAAAAUGGUGUAUAUGAGCUCGUCAUCUUUGAAUAAGGUUUUCUAGUGAGUUUAGACACAAUUUAAGGAUAAGAAAUGUUUCAAUUAUGUGCUUCAUUGCUAUAGGUGGAUCUCCCCAUAGUUUCACCUGGAAUUUGUACAAUAUCAAGGGCUGUUCAUGAACUUUGUGUUUAAAGAACAAUUUCCAUGGCAUUCUGCCACAAAGAGGCAGCAUUCACCCAUGAGAAAAUUGACAGUAACUACUUGAAUUCAGGUUGAACAGGUGGUACCAGUUUCCCGGAGGAUUAAAAAAAAAACAAAUUGUAAUGCUACAUUGACCAAGUACAGUAAGCUGUUCAUAUUCUUUGCAACAUUUUCCUUUCUAAUUUUUUUUUCAAAGGGGAAAGGAAUAAGCUUAAUAAUGUCAUGGUAUUAUCAUGAAGAAAAGUGCAUUGCUUGCUCUUCAUCUACCUCCUCUAUAUUAGAUCCAAGAUUAGAAAAGAAAAAAAAAAUACUAGCAUUUGACUUCAAAAUUGAGAUUGGUAUUAUUCUUCACAGCAGCAGGAAGUUAUUUUUUUAAUGUCAGUAUCACUUCCUCAACCUUAUUAUAUAUAGAUAUGACAGUUUUAUAAAUUAUAAAAUAUAAAUGUAAAGUGGAAUCCUCCAUGUAACUUAGUUUUAUUUCUUAAUUGGUGCAUAAAAUAAAAAGAUAAGAAUUACAUAAAAUUAAUGACUUAGUUCUGGGCAAUAUAAGUAACUUUCAAAGAAAGUUUAGUGAUGUAUUUUUCAAAGAUUUACAAAAUUUUAUUGUAAAACCAGCAUUAUUUUACAUCAUUUUGUCACAUAUACUCCCUUUAGGUGGUUCAUUUCUAUCUUACUCUUCCUAAGAUGUCCAAUAUUUUAUUUUAAUCUUCAAAAUAACAUUUAUAGAUUGAUUUUUAGAAGUUCCCCUUAAUUUUUAUAUUAUAUUUUCCCACUGUGUUAAGAAAAUAAAAGUAAAUUCAUCCUGACUUUCAUAAAUGUGAAAAAUUUUUUAUCAUCUCAGAAUCAUGAAACUGCACAGAAUUAAAAAAUGAAUCAUUUUUCUCCUACCAACGUCUUCCUGCUAAUACAUUAACUCAUAAAUUAGAAUAUAGGUUGUAUAGUGUUGAAUAUUUGAUUUUUGUUGAUUUAAGUUGCUCACUGAGUAGAUAAUUGGAAUGGGCAUAUCAGUAGUAUAUGACUGGAGUAAGAAAAUUCUCUUCACAGAAUUUUGAGGAAGAAAAUAUGUAAUGUUUCAGGCACCAAUUAAAUUUGGAUGCACACUAAGCUUACUCUUUGUGCUUGUUCGAUUUAAUAUGUUGCAUAAAUCUCAUAUAUUUAGAGGUAGAUAUUACAAAAUAUUAUUUCUAUGUCUAUGUGAUUAUAAUGUAAAUACUUAAAUUAUAUAAGAAAAAAUAAACAUAUUCCAAGAAAAUGUAGAUAAUUUGAAUGCUAAUAUAAAAAAUCAUUUACAGCUAAACUAUUGAUUGAAGUUGUAAGUUAAACCACCUUAGCAUAGAUAGUAUUUUCAAUUUAGUACCUGCCUAUUGAAACAAAAUCUGAAGGGUGUCAGUAAUCCUAGGUUAACUGAUUAGCAAAUUUCUUUUAGGAUACUAUAAUACUCUGACUAGCAUGUUUCAUAGAUAGUGGGAUAAUGGUUUUAUCUAUCACCAUAUUCUAGAAUUGUGCCUGGCAUUCAGUAAGCACCUAAUGGAUUAACAAAUAUGUACUUGUAGAUGUCUGCAGACCAAGGUGAAUUUAGUGAAUAUCAAAAACUUCUUGAGUGCUCCAUCGUAACGCCAUUUAUCUUGACAUAAACUGCAAAGAUGGCUCAAAUGUCGAUAAGGAUAUCAGGUGAGUGUUUAGUACUUUGGCAUGAAAGUUUUUGGAAAACCAUUGGGAUGCUACUAGUGAUAUUUAAAUAUAUUUAUGCUAAACACAGAAAAUAUUUUCCAAAUGGCUCCCUUUUAGUCUAUGUUUGUUUUAAUUAAGUUCAGAUAGUUAAGAAAAAAAUGGAAAUAGGACUAGAGAACUUUGGCAUAAAACUCAUUUCCCAGUCUUUAAUUGUAAUUAUUUAUUUUGCUUUGAUAGUAUAAUUGGUUACAUUUUUCAAAAAUAAUAAGAAAAGUAAUUGUUGCUGCUCUGCACUUACAUUACUGUUUUAAAGUUCAGGGUAUGCCCUAAUGGAGAUGCUGGUGAAAUUUUCAGGCAUUUUCAACGAAUAUGAUCCCGGUUUUUUUAAGUCUGGUGAGGUGUUUAUCUAUUUAGAAAGCUUUUCUGGGCACCAUGUAUUUUCCCCUGGGAGUAGAAAAUCAGUUCAUCUUUUUAAUGACAAUAUUACCUCGAGGGAAAAAAGUAAUCCAGAAGGAAUAAUACAUUCCUCAGGGCAGUUGCCUACACAGGGACACAUUUUUCUCUGGGGCUGACUGCACGUAUAUUUCAGUGGAAGAGUUUAAAUAUUUUAAGAUAUGAUUGCAUUUUGUCAUAAGGCACCAUGACUAAAGGAUACAGUAUUUUUUGAAUAUAUAGUAACAUAUUUUUAUAAGCUUUUAUACAUCAAUUAUAAUUUAGGAAAUUUUAUUUGCUAUGAAAAUUUUAGCUGUAUUCAUAUUUGAGGUAAAAUAAAAUAAUUUUAACUUUCAAUUUGCAUGUUUUGUUAAACAUAACAUCAGAAGAAAGGAGGCAUAAGUAAAGAGAUAUUUGAGUUUCACUUAUGAACACCAAACAGCACAAUUUUAGAAGUCUUUUAGCUAUUUUGAUAGCAAAAUAUAUAUUCUUCAUUCUUUCUAUCCAAACUUUAACCUUGAUGAGUACUUAGAUGAUGAAGUAUUUACUUACUGUCAUCACUUUGAAUACUUUGGAGAAUGUAUAAUUUGAGAUUGUGAAGGAGUUUGACUUUGUAGCCACAUCUUUUAAUUCCUUAACAUUAUAUUUAAGAUUCAUGUACUUCAAAGUUCUGUUUUCACUUCUUUUGCCCAUUAAAAAUAUUGGAAUACUACUAAAAAACCUUUGUACUUUAAAUACCUAUUUUUUUAUUUUACAAACUCUUGUAAUAAUUUUCCUUCCAAAAUAAGAAUAAAUUUUAUAUUGAAUAUAUAAUGUUAAUACAUUAAGAUACAUUGAUAUUGUGUUUGCAUUAUAAAAUGUAUGCUCGCAGAACUACACCUAUAGAAAAUAGUUUUGUUUCAUGAGAUAUUAAUAUUAUCAAAGCAUUUCAAUAGCAAUCUGAUGAUAAAUAUAAAAUAUAGAUUACAUUUAAGAAUACUAUACUUAUGUGGAAUAAUGAAAAAUAAAUAUUAAGCAUCUUUUCAAAGUAACUAAUAUAAUCAGAAUGAAAAUUAGAUUUUUUUGAAUUUAGGAAAGAUCUUUUUUUCCUGUUAUUUUCUCUAAUUUCUUCAUACCAAAUCAGUUUUACACUUAUUUAUUUAAAAUUAACUUGAAUUUCUGUUGAUUAUUUUUAAACAAAAUCAUUAUUUGUUGUAUAAAAUAAAAAUAAUAGGUUGACUAAUUCAUAAAUAAACUAAAUGUAGCUAUUUCAUUGAGCAUUUAAAUAACAUUUAAACUAAAAUCAAUCAAAAACACGUCAUUUAAACAAUGAAUUUUCUAAAUUAGAACUGCAAAACCAAUUAUAAUGUUGGGUACUAAAGAUGUUUUAUAAUAUGCUGAUUCAUAGUAAAUACUUUUAAAAAGAAAAAUACAUAGCUUUUUUUCCUAAAAUUUGAAUCUCUUUUUAAUACAUGAAACAUGAUUUUAUGAAUAGUGCUAACAUGAGAACAUCAGUGUGUCUGUCUUUUUAAGUGGGAAUGUGGAUAUUCUUGUGCAUGAGUACCCACAUUUAUAGUUGAAAUUACAUUUUUGUUUGUUAAAUUGAAAAAUAGACAACAUAACAUCUAGACAACUGUGUGAAAAAGUAAGCUCUACAUAUUGAUAAUAUAUUACAUCAUAAUAUAUUAUAUCCUAUUAUAAAUAGUUUUGUAAAGUGACUUGGAAAAAUACAGUUCCAUGUGUAUUUUCAGAAAUUUAAAUUAUUUUUGUUAAAAUUGAAUAAUGUGUACAUCUUUAACGCAAAUUUUAUAUGGCUAAAUUUCUAUUUGGAAUGUCUUAAAGUAAAAUCACAUCAAAAUUUAGUCAUUAUAUGUAUUAUGAAUAAUACUAUAGGCAAUAUUACUUCCAGUACCAGAGAAAGAAGAAAAUAUUAGUUUAAAGAAGUAGUUUUUUAUUUAUAAAUAAUUAGAAAAAAACACUUGUGUGGGUUUUUCACAUGGUAACCAAGAGUAGUAUGAAUUUUCAUACUCUUCCAUGUGUACUCUGGGCCAUAGCUAUGAAAAAUUUGUAACCAUCAUAAUAGGAACAGUGAUGUUUGGUUUAAUUUUGCUCUCUAUUGCAUGUACUACAAAUAAAGAUUCUUUUCCAUUUGAAAAUCUUUCUAUAAAACAAGAAAUUUCCCAUGCAGAUGAAAUGAGGUUACAGUGAAGCAAAGGAAACUAAGAUUGUAGGUAUUACCAAACUAAGACAAUUUAUAAAAUUAUCUAUAUAUCUAUAUAUAGGUGUGUGUGUGUAUAUAUAUAUAUAUAUAUAUAUAUAUAUAUAUAUUUUUUUUUUUUUUUUUCAAGACAGAGUCUUGCUCUGUUAUCCAGGCUGGAGUGCAGUGGUGCAAUUUCUGCUCACCACAGCCCCCACCUCCUGAGUUCAAGUAAUUCUCCUGCCUCAGCCUCCCAAGUAGCUGGGAUUACAGGUGCCCACCACCAUGCCCGGCUAAUUUUUGUAUUUUUAGUAGAGACGGGGUUUCACCAUGUUGGCCAGGCUGGUCUUGAACUCCUGACUUCAGGUGAUCCACCUGCCGCGGCCUCCCAAAGUGCUGAAAUUACAGGCAUGUGCCACUGUGUCUGGCCAAAAUAAUAAAUCUUAUGUUAGCUUUAAGGAGUUCUGAACUUAGUAUCUGUCAUGUAGUAAAUAAAUAAACAUGAUAAUCUUCUAGGAAUUUUGGGUAAAUAAUUUUAAACAAAUUCUUAAUCUCACUACACUAUAAUCUGCCUCAACGUUGUUGUUAGACGUGUAUAAUGAAUAUUAGAAGUACUGGACAAAAUUCCAUUUGAUCUCAUUUUCUUGAAAUGAGUUAAGUUAUUGUUGUUGCCACAUUUUUCAUCUAGAAGUCAUUCUGUAAUAAAACUCUUUGUAGUUGUUAUCAUCUGGAACUGUUACACUGGACCUAUGGUGCUAUAAAGAAAAUCUCUAUUAAAAAAUGAAAGUCAUUUCUUUUACCAAAUAUUUAUUCAGUCGUAAAAAAUGUAUAUCCUUAUAUUUUGACUGAGUAUCUCUAUUGAUUUAUAGCUGAAAUGCUGGAAUGAGAUUGUGUAUUAACUAGGAUUAGACGCUUGGAGUCUC